ensembl:lncRNA
UAAAUCAGACAAAACAGUCCCUGAAGACGAAAAGGAUAUUGUCAUGGUUUCAAGGCGCCCUUUUUAUAUCCAGGUCGCACGCUCAUCAAUCAAGCUGAUGAUUCACGGCUGUCGCCGGUCAGCAUGAUUGCUGUGAGUUGAUAUUUGAUUUCAGACACCUGUCACACCUGAGGCGUUCCCCAUAGCGUCGUUGACGUAUUGUCGAAGUUCCCUUCGAAAGGGAACAAUAUUUUUCUGUGGGCUUAAAUUAAUAAAAUGCAUUCAUUUAUUACAGGAACUGCUCAUAUUUAUGACUCAAUUAAUAAAGACAUAAGCACAGAUACAGAAGAAAUUGUAAGUGGAUGUACUGAACUCACUUACGCUGAGAUUGAGCUCAAAUCUACAGAGAAACAUGAGAAAAAGAAAGAAAACAAAGGUAAUACGAGUGAAAGUUCAGACACUGUGUACUCUCAGCUGAAUCUGGAAACCCAUCAAGUGGCUGGAUCUAGUGAUGUGACGUAUGCUCAGGUUAAAUAAUUGGCUGGAGGAGAAACUUUCAAUCACAGGAUGCUGAUGAGCUUAGGCAGAGAAGGGCUGGAGAAUGACCGGGAUCAUCAAUUCUUUCUUCAGCCUUCGUGUUGUUAAGACACUGUGCAUGCUGAUCUUUGAAAAGCAAUGAGCUGUACAUUAUACACUGGAAAAAACAGAUGAUCUUUUAGUACUAAACAGUGUUUAUUUUAUUUUUUAUAAGAGGCAGCAGCUCAUCUUUUUACUGUUGAUUGAGACCAGGUUUCCCUUAUUUGUGUGUUUCUUGAUUUUAAAUGUAUUUGCAAAAAAGUCAUGAACAACCUGGAAAUACCUUGCAAUUUUUAAAUGUCUGGAAGAGUUGUCUUACAAGUAAAUGUAUGUGAUGAAUAGUUUUUUUUUUUUUGUAGCUAUGCUUAACUGUAAAAUGAUUUUAAAAAUCCUUAUUCAGCAAUCACAAACAUAUGAAAAAAUUAAAAUAUUAAUAAAAAUCAUGGGACGCCAUGGAAAUUCAUUGUUCAAAAAGGAAAAUCUGUUGUAGCUUGCUUGUUUGUCUUAUAAUCACUUUUAAGCUUAAAUAUUGUAAUUUUACUGUAAUUUUAAAUAUUCUUAUAUUAAUAAAAUGUAAUUGCUAUGAAUACCUCUAUGUAAGUCUAAUCUUUAGAUUUUAAAACUGCUUGAAAAGUUUUUGACUUCUGUUGUAGCUUGCUUCUUGUUCUUAGUUAGAAAUUAUAAUAAUUUUUCACAAUUAUAAUUAUAAACUGUAGUUUUUCUUUAAUCUAUACUUUUUGUUUAUAUCUUUAUUACAAUAAAAUAAGAUCUAAUUGCUACAAUGGUAGUGUGUAGCAUGAGCGUGAAUGACUUGGUCAUCAUAAAUGUGAUGCUUGAGCAAAUAAGUAUAAAUAUCUUUGCACACUGAUAUAUAUCGGCCGAUGAUUAAUGCACAUCUCAUCAGUAAAGCCGGUUCUCUAAUCAGUGAUAAAUUCCAUCAGGUGUGUGAUUUCACAUAGAGCAGCUGUUACUACACAGAACCGUUGUUAACUGACAAGCUGCGCAAAUCAAUGUUGAUAAUGAAUAGUGCCGAUGGCACUGUUACUUAUGCAGGAGGGUUUUCAGGAGAGUGUUCAAAUGUUAAUUAUCAGGAAAGUCCUUUGUUUUCUUAUGUACAGACGGUCCGACUCCAGCCUUACAGGACAUACCCAUGUACUGGCUUAAAGGGGGGUGAAAUGCUCGUUUUCACUCAAUAUCCUGUUAAUCUUGAGUACCUAUAGAGUAGUACUGCAUCCUCCAUAACUCCAAAAAGUCUUUAGUUUUAUUAUAUUUAUAAGAGAAAGAUAGUCUGUACCAUUUUUUCCCGGAAAAACCCGAGCGACUGGAGGCGUGACGUGUGGGCGGAGCUAAAGAAUCACGAGCGCGAGUAGGCUUUUGCGUUGAGAGCGUUUGGAAGCUGUGACAUUACAGUGAGGAAAAAAACAUCAAAAACAAACCAUUGCUAACAGUCAGAUUCAGCCGUAUAUUUAUGAUCCAGAAUCAGAUCCAGAGGCUGAAAUUUAACAAGAGCAGCAGCAUCAACGACUACAGCAGGACGUCUCUAUGUGGUAUGUAUUGAAACUGUAUAUAUUUGCUUAGCGGUUUUGGAAAAUAACUAAGUUCCACUUUAUGUCGUCUUUUUUUUUUUUUAAGGUGUACAUGUGGAAAGUGCAGUUUGAUGACAACAUCGCAUGUUGUUUACUUGAUGUGCUUAAACGCCGAUAGCUAAGUUAACAACACAGAGAUAUUUGAUGCAGUUUUACUCACCGCCUGCGGUUCCAACACACGAUCGUGACCCUUUUUCGUUGGGACUGCAUUAUCCUUAAGAAAUAAACGAUAUGCAAAUCCGGCGUCAAACUGGGCCUUGUUUGUAAAACAAGCAUCUUCGAAAUGCAGGAAACAAACAAAAACACUUGCACAACUCCGUUGAUGCUCUGUAAAAAUAAACUCCAUCCACUGGUCCCUUAAUGCUGUUUUUUUUUUUUUUUUGGUAAUCUGUGCAGGGUUGUCUUGCCCUGGCAACCAAAAACACACUUCUUUUGUGACAUUUCGCUCAUGCUCUGAUCAGUGAAUGUCUCUGCUCUCAGUGCUCUGCUAUACGGGAGCGCGCGCUCUUCCGGGAGAAGUGCCCUUAGGACCCAUAUAAGGAAAUUCCGCUCCAUCUAACGUCACACAGACCCAUACUUUCCGAAACUUGUGACAAACCGGAAGGAGUAUUUUUGGAACAAAAAUACUCCUUCAAACGUACAACUUAAUUUUUGAAACUUUGUCCAUGUUUAUCAUGGGAAUCCCACUCUUUAACAGUAUAAAAAACUCAGAAUGCAUGAAAUAGCUUUUCACCCCCCCUUUAAGGAUAACGUCUCUAGGUUACGUAUGUAACCCUAGUUCCUCAAGAGAACGAGAUGCUGCGUCAAUGCGCUUUGGGGAACGCGCCCAGCGUGCGCGACUCUGAAUAUCGUGUGAAAUCAAACCAAUGGAAGUGCGUGAUGUCACCGGCGGAGUGACGUAAGCGACCAGGAAGCUAUAAAAGCACGUGCCACGCAGCUGGCGUCAGCUUCGAGUACCAGCAAGCGCCGGCAGGGGUGCCGGGGGUAUGGCUCCGAGACGCAGCGUCUCGUUCCCUCGAGGAACUAGAGUUACAUACGUAACCUAGAGACGUUCCUCUUCAGGAACUCGAGCUGCGUCAAUGCGCAUUCUCGCCAGACUACCAAACCCCUGCCUAGUGUGUAUCCGAAGACCACAGCUUAGGACAGGAGGACGGAAGCACCCAGAGUGACUGGCAUGUCUAGGCCAUAGAAUUUAACAAACGUAGAAGGCGUGG